rnacentral:rRNA from 1 species
UUAUUAUCAUAUAUUUUUAGUGGUAGUGURAKGGUUGUUGGAAGUUGUCGCSKGCGGUCGUUAUGUUUGUUUGCCUUUACACYCCCCURAUAGCGUCUUGGCCGUUGUUCCGCCUCUCCAGCUACAAUAGMGUAUAUUAAAGUUGUUGCAGUUAAAAAGCUAGUAGUUGGAUUUCGGAAGGUCCUUAGUAAUCCGUCCCUUUGGGGAGCGGGUUGCUGGCCUCCUAUGUUCCUAACGGSCCUCAUCCGMGAGGGUGGGGAAUCAACCGCUAGGAUCGUUUMCUUUGAGGAAAWUAGAGUGUUCAAAGCAGGSGUAACUYGCCUYCGAAUACGUUAGCAUGGGAUAAUGGAAUASGACUUCGGUCUUGUUUCGUUGGUUUYGCUKGGCUGAAGUAAUGAUUGAUAGGGACAGUUGGGGGCAUUAGUAUUUAGUUGUCAGAGGUGAAAUUCUAGGAUUUACUAAAGACUGACCAAUGCGAAAGCAUUUGCCAAGGAUGUUUUCAUUAAUCAAGAACGAAAGUAGGGGGAUUGAAGRCGAUCAGAUWCCGUYGUAGUYUYUACCSUWAAMUAWGCCGRCCAGGGAUCCGGAGAGUKUGCAUGGAWGACUCCCCGGGCACCUUGUGAGAAAUCAUAAGUGUUUGGGUUUGGGGGGAGUAUGGUCGCAAGGCUGAAACUAAAGAAUGACGAACGCCCCMMAAAGC